GCCAAUGUGGCUCGGUGGUAGAGCGUCGGCCUGGGAACUGAAAGGUCCCGGGUUCCAUUCCAGUCAUGGGCA
rnacentral:tRNA from 1 species